AGCAGCCGCGGUAAUUCCAGCUCCAAUAGCGUAUAUUAAGGUUGUUGCAGUUAAAAAGCUCGUAGUUGAAUUUCGGGGUCAGUAGAUUGGUCGUGCCACUGGUAUGUACUGGUCUCACUGGCUCCUCCUUCCUGAUGAACCGUAAUGCCAUUAAUUUGGUGUUGCGGGGAGACUGGACUGUUACUUUGAAAGAAUUAGAGUGUUUAAAGCAGGCUAACGCUUGAAUACAUUAGCAUGGAAUAAUGGAAUAGGACGUUCGACCUUAUUUUGUUGGUUUCUAAGAUUGACGUAAUGAUUAAUAGGGAUAGUUGGGGGCAUUAGUAUUCAAUUGUCAGAGGUGAAAUUCUUGGAUUUAU
rnacentral:rRNA from 1 species